rnacentral:ncRNA from 2 species
CAAGCCAGAAGAGGCGCGUCGCCCAGGUAAGAUAUCGGAGGAACCGUAAUCCGCUGAUGAUAUCCGAGGGGGAGCGACGCCGAGAUGCGGUGAAAUUCGGCUUUCACCCUAUCGACUACAGAGGCUGAAUCCUCUGGGUUGUCACCGGAUUCGUCCUGAUGGACGUCCAGCAAGGUGGAGCGCUUCUGGGUGU